rnacentral:rRNA from 1 species
CCUACGGGAGGCAGCAGUGAGGAAUAUUGGUCAAUGGCCGUAAGGCUGAACCAGCCAAGUCGCGUGAAGGAAGAAGGAUCUAUGGUUUGUAAACUUCUUUUAUAGGGGAAUAAAGGUAUCCACGUGUGGCUAUUUGCAUGUACCCUAUGAAUAAGCAUCGGCUAACUCCGUGCCAGCAGCCGCGGUAAUACGGAGGAUGCGAGCGUUAUCCGGAUUUAUUGGGUUUAAAGGGUGCGUAGGUUGGUGUUUAAGUCAGCGGUGAAAGUUUGUGGCUCAACCAUAAAAUUGCCGUUGAAACUGGAAGACUUGAGUGUGUUUGAGGUAGGCGGAAUGCGUGGUGUAGCGGUGAAAUGCAUAGAUAUCACGCAGAACUCCGAUUGCGAAGGCAGCUUACUAAGCCAUAACUGACACUGAAGCACGAAAGCGUGGGGAUCAAACAGGAUUAGAUACCCCUGUAGUC